AGUGAACGCUGGCGGUAGGCCUAACACAUGCAAGUCGAACGGCAGCACAGUAAGAGCUUGCUCUUACGGGUUGCGAGUGGCGGACGGGUGAGGAAUACAUCGGAAUCUACUUUUUCGUGGGGGAUAACGUAGGGAAACUUACGCUAAUACCGCAUACGACCUACGGGUGAAAGCAGGGGAUCUUCGGACCUUGCGCGAUUGAAUGAGCCGAUGUCGGAUUAGCUCGUUGGCGGGGUAAAGGCCCACCAAGGCGACGAUCCGUAGCUGGUCUGAGUGGAUGAUCAGCCACACUGGAACUGACACACGGUCCAGACUCUGAGGGGAGGCAGAAGUGGGGACUAUUGGCAAAAGGGCGGAAGCCUGAUCCAGCCAUACCGCGUGGGUGAAGAAGGCCUGCGGGUUGUAAAGCCCUUUUGUUGGGAAAGAAAAGCAGCAGGUUAAUACCCCGCUGUUCUGACGGUACCGAAAGAAUAAGCACCGGCUAACUUCGU
rnacentral:rRNA from 1 species